rnacentral:rRNA from 1 species
GACAGAGGUCCCGAGCGUUAGGCGGAAUCACUGGGCUUAAAGCGUGUGUAGGCGGAUUGGUAAGUACCUUGUGAAAUCCCACGGCUUAACCGUGGAACUGCUUGGUAUACUGCUUAUCUUGGGCCACUUAGGGGCUACCGGAACAAACGGUGGAGCGGUGAAAUGCGUAGAUAUCGUGUGGAACGCCAAUGGUGAAAACAGGUAGCUGGGAGUGUGCCGACGCUGAGACACGAAAGCCAGGGGAGCGAACGGG